rnacentral:lncRNA from 1 species
AUGGAGCAUCACACCAGCUAUCUCCUGCUCCCUGUCCUGCACUGCAAAGGAGGCCUUUUCAUCCUCUCUACUGCCUCCAAUUUUUCUCACGAGGAAUGUGAGAGGAAAACCUUUUGUCAGUUUCAAAUACUCAUGUAUCUGAUUGUCAAUGCUGGAGAGCUGGGGCCAGGGCAGUAGUUGAUGAAUAUCACCUGACUGUCUCCUGCAGAAAAAGCAUUCCCAGAAGCACGGAGAAGUGAGGAGAAAAGGCAAUGCACCUGGAGCUGGAGACCAAGGCCCUGUUCUUACUGAUGGCCCUUGGAGCAGAUAUUUGAAUUGGAGAGAUAAAACCGUGGUUUUUGGGGUGUUAAUUUUGGUGGCUGAUGCAUUCUGUGAUUGAUUUGGCUAUUACAACUGGUAUUGAUUUUAAACACAUUAAUUGCAAAAUCUCAAUUGUGAUUUGAUUUCUGUAUUUACAAUACUAAAAACGAGGCUUUCGCCAGGAGAAGACAAUUGGCAGUACUCAGUUGGAAGUGCUUAAUUGUUAAUAUAUAUCAGCCGUGGUUCUUCAGCGUCGUCAGUGUUGCUCAGUCUUGCUCUUUGUGGCGACUACUGAAUGCUUGAAAAAUUCUCUCCUAUACUCCCACUCUGCACUGUAGAAGAGAAAGAGAGGAGAGUGGAAGAAAAAAGAGAGGGAGAGGAGAAAGAAAGAGAGGAGAGAGAAACAUGGGCAUGGAUGAUACAUAAGGUAGUUGUAAACUGUGAUCAGCUUUGAUAAUAACUAGAUAAAUUCUUUUAAUACAAAAAUAUAUAAGGCAUUUUGCCUUUUUUUCAAAUUUCAAAUAAAUGGAUUUGUAUAGAAUGUAGUCUGUUGCCCAGAGUUUUCAUUUAGCAUAAUGCAUUUGAGAUUUAUCCAUGUUGUUGUAUAUUCUUUUUAUUGCUGAGUAGUAUUCCAUUGUGUGGAUAUACCAGUUUGUUUAUCCAUUAACCUUUGAUGGAUAUUUGGGUUUUUUUCAAUAUGAGGCUCUUAUAAAUAAACCUUCUGUAAUCAGGUCUUUGUGUAGUCACACAGUUUGUUUGUUUGUUUGUUUUUUAAAAAGAUGUUAGUAUUGUAAUUGUGUUUAAUAAGAAACUGUUCAGUAUUUCUGCAUGUCUACCAAAAAUACAUGAAAUGUUAGUUGCUUCUUUUAAAAUACUUGGUAUGUUUUUGCUUUUUUAUUUUAGCAACUUAAUAUGUGUGUAUUAUAACCUCAUUGUGGUUUUAAAUUACAUUUUCCUCAGUAACUAAUAAUGCUGAGCAUCUUUUAAUGUAUUUAAUGGUCAUUCAUAUAUCUCCUCAUGAAAUGUCUGUUAAAAUUGUAUGCUCAUUUAGAAAAAUCAGGAUGAUUGUCUUGUUGAGCUUUGAAAGCUCUUUGCAUAUUAUGAAUACAAGUUCUUUAUUAGACAUACAU